GUGACUUCUAAUUUAUCUAUUUGAUGAAAAGUGUAGGUUAUAAUAGAACUAGAAAUGAAGCUUCAUUCUAAUGAUCAUUUUCCUGCAGCCCUUUCAUAUUGUUCCCCUAUAGGAAAGGCUAUCCCUAAAAUUAAGAAAAAAAAACUAACUUUGACACAAUUAGUCAUGUUUAGACAAACCUGUUUUGGUCCUUUCCUUGACACAAACAUCAUCUUCAAUAGACCACUGAUUCAUUAUAUUUUUCUUUGAGAGAUAGAGGAACUUAGAAGAGAUGUUAUUAGUUUUAAUCUUGGGGAAUAAGGUAUCAUUCAUCCAAAUAGAGUUUAACCUUAUUAUAGGACUGAAACAUAAAACUAGAAAUAUGAGUUGACCUCUAUCUUUCCAUCCCUUGAGUUCAAAAAGCGAUGUUGAUGCAGUGAAAAUUGCAUUGUUUUAUUUUAUUGAGUUUGCUAUGAUGGGUAGAGAGAGGAAAAAAUAAAUGGAUUUUGAAAAUUUAGCAAUCAUAGAUGAUUGGAAUAGAUUUGGUAAUGAGGAUUGGAGCAAGAAACCUUUUGCAAAUACAAUUAAACGAUUCGAACAAGGAUUGAAAGAUGAGGCGUAUAAGGGCAAUGCAGAUGGAAAACAACAGACGUAUAGUAUUUACGGGUUUCCCAUACUUUUCAGGUAUGGGCAUACGAAACUAUUUCAUCAUUAUCCGGUCGCAUUGCAAACAUAUUGAAGGACAAUGUGAUACCACGCAUUUUGAGAUUGUCAUGCUCACAUUCUCCUCUAUAUGGAGUGAUUAGAGACGAGGUCUUCGGGUAAGAAUCACAUUUCAAUCGUGUUAUGGAGCCAUCCAUCCAUCGACUUGCACCACUUGUACUACCUACACCACUGGAACUACCUCUAUCCACAAAUGAUGGAGAUGAUGCCAGACCUUUGAAUACUAAGGAGGUUGAUCAUAAUGAUAGUGACCAAAGGCAUCACGAGAAGACCAAGAAGAAGUGGAAGAAGUAUCUCAAAUUGAUUAAGUUAAUCAAAGGUCUUGAUUGUCGCGUGGAAAGUUUGGGACAUGACUUAAAGAGCAUUAAGAAGUACUUGUGACGACUAUCGAAGGAAAAGACAUUGAUUACACUAGAGGUGGGGACCAUGAAGGUACAAGUGGUCAUGAUGUGACAAAUGAUGGUGAUGGGGAUAGUCAUUCUCAUGGAGCACUAGGUGUUGUAGAUGGUGAUAUAGUACCUGUGGUUCCAGGUGACAAUGUUAUAGAUGAAGGGUCGGGCGUUGAUGGACAAAAGGACAAGGUUGUCGAUAUAAGUUCACAAGACAUGAAAAAUCUAAAUGUAAUAGAAGGUCGCAGUGGUCGAAUGAGAACUGUUUUUUGGAUAUUAACUACAUCGUGGAAAGACACAAGAAAGUAUGGGAAGAGGCA